ACUACUUCAUCCAUCCAUUGACAGCACUCCAAGAAAAAAAAAUAUAUCAUUUCCAAACCAAAAUCCUUCUCUCUCGCUAGAAAAAUGUCACAAAUCUUUCACUCCUCUCCGCCGCAACUUCACCCGACUACCUCACUGCCUUAGCCUUUGUCUCUCUCUCUCUCAUCUUGAAUUGAUUUCAUUAUGAAAGGUGAACAAUUUGCUAUUGUGAAGCCAUGGCAAUGGUUUUCAUGUUGUUUUGCAGCUUAGACAACUUUUAAGAAAAUGCCACAUUUUGGAGUUGGGAUGGAGCCAUAAUGAAGAUCAUAAAAUUCGAGUAUGAAGUGAAGGGAAUCGAAGGAAAAGAACAUGGCAACGAAGCGUGGAAAUUGAACAAAGCAAGAAAGAGUAGUUUCAUGGACGCCGUGACGCCAAAAUUGGGCGCUUGGGCGUCCAAGGAAAAAAAAAGUUGGCGCUGCAUAAAAAAGGGAACAGCAAGUGGUGCCUUGGCGCUCGACACAAAAAUAGGAAAGUGCAUUUUUCUGGCCCAGAUCCGAUUCUUCUCAUCUUGUAACUUUUGGGAAAGAUAAAUACCACAAAAAAGACCAAGAAAAGGGGGAUUUUUCUGGCAUUGAAAAAAGAACUCAAGGCAAAAACAAGAGAUCAAGCAAUUCAAGGAGGAAGAUUUACAAUCAUUGGGAGAAGAUUCAAAGUGACAAUACAAAAGAUGAGAUCAAAUCUGGAAGAGAAGUUAAUGAAGAGGAUGGCAGUUGAUCAUUGAAAAGCCGAAGAAUGGAGAGCCACAGCUCAGCUUCAGCACUCGGAACAAAUUUAAGACUCUGAAUAAUCGCGCAAGAUGAUGAACCAAAAUACAGUGCAUUUCUUAUGUCACAAAUCUUGUGUUUACUUCCCUUGCAAUAGCCAUCACUUAUGAAUUCAUUCACCCCAGCAAUCAGAAAUUUCAACAUCCAGAUUGUGAUAAUUAAAAGGCUAUCAUCUUAAAAAAAUAAAAAAAAUCAUGUAGAGAGAGUUGAGUUCUUGAAAAUAGAAAUGUGAUAAUUUGCUAAUUAACAUGUAAUGGGAUAUUACGACACUUCUUUGCGUUGAUGAUGGCAAUUUCUUCGUGUCACUUGAUUAUUUUCUUAAUAUUUCUUAAAAAAAGACUGCAAGUGCGGUGAACCAAGAGAAACUAGUACCUGAGGAUGUAAGUUUUGGGUUGUUGUCGAAGAGACUAGAGGAAGGAUAUUGCAGGGGUGAAACUGGCUUUAUUUUGGAUAGAGUACCUCGUACGAGAAUUCAGGCUGUAAGUAGUGAUGCUGUCCUCUCCUUUUGGAUGGUUUAUCAAGACUCACAAGUCUCUUUAGAUGGAAUAUAUUGAAUUGAAGUAUCUCUUUCAUGCUUUUGACAUGUAAGAUAAUGCAAUUUUACUCUUAGCAUGUUAUCCAAGUUUCGAUUGAAUUGCGAUUUGUUUUUAGUCUGCAUCUAGUGUUAUAAGAGUAGGAAAAAUACUCACAAACAUUCUCAAGAAGAACUUUGAUGUAUGUGACUGCUAUGGUCCUUGCAGGAAAUCAUGGACUGAAUUACUGAUAUAGAAUUGGUGCUGAACUUUAACAGAGUAUAUUCUUGCUCCUUUUCCUCAUUUUCUUCCAUUUUUUCUAUCACUUUGUGCAGUUACACGGUUGAGGCAGACAACCCCCUGUAUGGCACUUGAUUGGUAUGUAAGCAUUGAGAUUUUAGUUAAUCUAGUUUUAUUUUUUUACUUGAAUAAUGAACUCUUUGUAAAGAAUCUAUACUUUUUUCAUAUUCUCUUAGCUAUUUCUUUUUGUCCAUUUAUUUUAGUAGGGCUACAUUGAGCAAUGGAUUUACUUUUCCACUUCUGAGAUUGAUGUUAA